rnacentral:rRNA from 1 species
GAUGAACGCUGGCGGCGUGCCUAAUACAUGCAAGUCGAGCGAACAGACGAGGAGCUUGCUCCUCUGACGUUAGCGGCGGACGGGUGAGUAACACGUGGAUAACCUACCUAUAAGACUGGGAUAACUUCGGGAAACCGGAGCUACUACCGGAUAAUAUAUUGAACCGCAUGGUUCAAUAGUGAAAGACGGUUUUGCUGUCACUUAUAGAUGGAUCCGCGCCGCAUUAGCUAGUUGGUAAGGUAACGGCUUACCAAGGCAACGAUGCGUAGCCGACCUGGGAGGGUGAUCGGCCACACGGGACAUGGGAAGCGGUCCAGAACCAGACGGGAGGCAGGAGUAGGAAAUCUUCCGGAAGGGGCGAAGGCGUAACGGGGCAACGCGGCGUGAGUGAUGAAGGGCUUCGGAUCGUAAAACUCUGUGAUUAGAGAAGAACAAAUGUGUAAGUAACUAUGCGCGUCUGAACGGUACCGAAGCAGAAGGCCAGGGUUAACUACGU